rnacentral:misc_RNA from 1 species
AUGAUAACUUGUUCAUGUUCAGUAGACGUGACCGUCUAAAAACUGUAAUGAGGACACUCUACUUCACACUCUAUUGAGCGAAUGGAAAAUUGCUUAUACUAGCCCAUAUAUGAAUAAUUGGAGUGGCUGAAUACAGGUGAUUGUUCUUGGUCUAGGCCUCAAUUGAUGGAUUGUUAUUUUAAAUUUUCAUUGAAGUGUUCAACAGAAAUAUUUGAGUAAAUUAGCGCAGAUGUUUAUUACUUCAAUUGGCUGAUGAUUCCCAGGUGAAACCUCUGGACACUGUGAACUUAACGAGAUGGAACAAAAGUACUAUCAUCAUACUUUCAAAUACUGGACUACAAUUUCAUGAACCACUGAUGCAAUACAUUUACAUUUUAAACACUAAGAAGUGUAUUAACUGAAUAUUUUGAAUCACAACUGAAAAAUAUUAUAAACUAAAUUUGACAUAAUUAGACAUCGGUGUGAUAAAAUAAAACAAUGUCAGCUUUGAAAGGAUGGAUCCCUAAAGGAAAGUAUAGACUGAUCGUGCUCCUGUUGAUGUGGAUUAUUCUGUUUCAGAUAUUCAUAUUUGGUCUUAUUGCAUCAAAUCUAACACAUUCUCAUGCUGUAAACCAUAGCAAUAAAGAUGUAACACUAGCAAGAGGAGAGAUGAUGUCAAAUGAUGCAAAAGACAAAAACGACAGAAAGGACAAUAAUUCAAAUUGGGAAAGUACUAAUAUUAAUGAUGAGGCGAACGAUUUAAAAAUGCAAUUUGGAGAAACAAGAAGCAAAACAAAAAUCAAUGAUGAUACUCUAAAACAAAUAUUAAAAAUCCUUAAACGAUUGAAAUCUGAAAAAGUAGAAAGAUAUAAUAGUGCCAAUGAUAAUAAUGAGAGCACUAUCCAAAAACAUUUUGCUAGUAAUACAGAUAUAGAUGAACAUCAACUCAGAGUUGACAGAAUGCUGAGGAAGGUACAUGCAAUUUGGAAUGGGACAGAUACCUAUGUAGCCAACCAUAGAAGUCUAAAAGUAUGGGAUAGAGCUAAGAUACAUGAUGCGGUUAUUAGUCCACAUGACUAUACAUACUUGAUCAAUGAACCAAACAUAUGUAAAGAUGAUCUGUUUCUGUUGGUUUACGUUUAUACUGCUCCUUCAAAUGCCUAUCAAAGGAAGGUUAUUCGAGAAACAUGGGGGAAAGUAUCCCUAUAUUCAUCUCUAGGGGUUGUCAUAAGGGUAGUUUUCCUUCUUGGAAAAACACAUAUUGAAACAGUCCAAGAAAGUAUAACACAGGAAAGUAAAAUAUAUCAUGAUAUUGUACAGGAAGAUUUUAUAGAUGCUUAUGAGAAUUUAUCCCAUAAAGGAAUCAUGGGAUUAAAAUGGGUGACAAAGUUUUGCCGAAAUACAAAAUUUGUCUUAAAAAUUGAUGAUGAUGUCCUUGUGAACAUGUUUAAACUCAUCACACAACUUAAGAAUAUGAUCUCAUCCGGAGAAUCUUCUGAGAAAAUUAUACGAGGAAACGUCUGGGCAAAUGGUAUAAUGCCAGUUGUUAGAGAAAAGGGUACUACACUUUAUGUUUCCCCUGAGGUAUACCCAAAUGAGAACUAUGGGGAAUACUGCUCAGGAGCUGCUUACCUGUUGACCCAGCCAGCAGUUCGAGCUAUUUACAAAAAAUCACUAUAUGUGCCAUAUAUUCAUAUAGAAGAUUACUACAUAACAGGCCGUAUAGCAACUUUAGCGGGUGUAACUAGGAAAAAAUUUGACAAUACAACACAAGCUUAUCUUCUUUUUGAUGAAUAUUUUCUACUAAUGUAUCAAUCUGACGCAAGUGACUCAUUGAUUUUUGGACUAUCAUCAAAUAUAAUGUAUGUUCCACAAGCUUGGCAGCGUAUUUUGUUGAGACAUUCACAAGGGGUUUACUAAAUACAGUACAAGAUAGAGGCUUCAACUAUAUUUCAGUUAUACUAAGUAUACAGUGUAUGUUUUUCAUAAAUCUACAACUUAAAAGGGCGAACCUGAUAUAUAAGGUAUCAACUAUGUUAAAGACGUACUAGACAUAUUCUGCAUUAAUCUACAACUUACAAGGUGAACUAGACAUGUUUUGCAUGAAUCUACAACUUACAAGGUGUACUAGACAUGUUUUGCAUGAAUCUACAACUUACAAGAUGUACUAGACAUGUUUAGCAUGAAUC